rnacentral:rRNA from 1 species
AGAUUGAACGNNNGCGGCAGGCCUAACACAUGCAAGUCGAGCGGCAGCACGGGUACUUGUACCUGGUGGCGAGCGGCGGACGGGUGAGUAAUGCCUAGGAAUCUGCCUGGUAGUGGGGGAUAACGCUCGGAAACGGACGCUAAUACCGCAUACGUCCUACGGGAGAAAGCAGGGGACCUUCGGGCCUUGCGCUAUCAGAUGAGCCUAGGUCGGAUUAGCUAGUUGGUGAGGUAAUGGCUCACCAAGGCGACGAUCCGUAACUGGUCUGAGAGGAUGAUCAGUCACACUGGAACUGAGACACGGUCCAGACUCCUACGGGAGGCAGCAGUGGGGAAUAUUGGACAAUGGGCGAAAGCCUGAUCCAGCCAUGCCGCGUGUGUGAAGAAGGUCUUCGGAUUGUAAAGCACUUUAAGUUGGGAGGAAGGGCAGUUACCUAAUACGUGAUUGUUUUGACGUUACCGACAGAAUAAGCACCGGCUAACUCUGUGCCAGCAGC